GGGGGCGACCUGGCUUCGACGGGGAUUACAAAACUCAAGGUGCAUGCCGAGGUGUCAGCGAACCUCGUACCCACUAGCUGAAAACUAUAGUUGCAAACGACGACAACUACGCUUUAGCCGCUUAAUGGCUAACUGUUGCUUCUGAGCGUCACCGGUAGGGAGUUCAACAGUCAUAUACGGAGACUCGCGUGUAAGGGUGUUUACCCCCCAAGCGUUAAACUUUAAGUAAACUCGCCCUAAGCCUCCUGUCAGUCGGAAAAGCUUUGGGUUAACUCAUAGACUGACUAAGCAUGUAGUACCAAGAGCAGAGGAUUUUCGGACGCGGGUUCGAUUCCCGCCGCCUCCACCA
rnacentral:tmRNA from 1 species